CCAUGCCGCGUGCAGGAAGACAGCCCUCUGGGUCGUAAACUGCUUUUAUUCGGGAAUAAACCUAUCUACGUGUAGAUAGCUGAAUGUACCGAAGGAAUAAGGAUCGGCUAACUCCGUGCCAGCAGCCGCGGUAAUACGGAGGAUCCAAGCGUUAUCCGGAUUUAUUGGGUUUAAAGGGUGCGUAGGCGGCUUAUUAAGUCAGGGGUGAAAGACGGUGGCUCAACCAUCGCAGUGCCUUUGAUACUGAUGAGCUUGAAUAUACUAGAGGUAGGCGGAAUGUGACAAGUAGCGGUGAAAUGCAUAGAUAUGUCACAGAACACCGAUUGCGAAGGCAGCUUACUAUGGUAUUAUUGACGCUGAGGCACGAAAGCGUGGGGAUCAAACAGGAUUAGAUACCCUGGUAGUCCACGCCCUAAACGAUGAAUACUCGCUGUUAGCGAUAUACAGUUAGCGGCUAAGCGAAAGCGUUAAGUAUUCCACCUGGGGAGUACGCUCGCAAGAGUGAAACUC
rnacentral:rRNA from 1 species